rnacentral:rRNA from 1 species
AUUGAACGCUGGCGGAAUGCUUACACAUGCAAGUCGAACGGCAGCACGGGGCAACCUGGUGGCGAGUGGCGAACGGGUGAGUAAUACAUCGGAACGUGCCCAAUCGUGGGGGAUAACGUAGCGAAAGUUACGCUAAUACCGCAUACGAUCUACGGAUGAAAGCGGGGGAUCGCAAGACCUCGCGCGAAUGGAGCGGCCGAUGUCAGAUUAGGUAGUUGGUGGGGUAAAGGCUCACCUUUUUUAAGCCAACGAUCUGUAGCUGGUCUGAGAGGACGACCAGCCACACUGGAACUGAGACACGGUCCAGACUCCUACGGGAGGCAGCAGUGGGGAAUUUUGGACAAUGGGCGCAAGCCUGAUCCAGCCAUUCCGCGUGCAGGAUGAAGGCCUUCGGGUUGUAAACUGCUUUUGUACGGAACGAAACGGCGAGCUCUAAUACAGUUUGCUAAUGACGGUACCGUAAGAAUAAGCACCGGCUAACUACGUG